rnacentral:rRNA from 1 species
UACGUAGGGUGCAAGCGUUAAUCGGAAUUACUGGGCGUAAAGCGUGCGCAGGCGGUUGUGCAAGACAGAUGUGAAAUCCCUGGGCUCAACCUGGGGAUUGCAUUUGUGACUGCACGGCUAGAGUGUGUCAGAGGGGGGUAGAAUUCCACGUGUAGCAGUGAAAUGCGUAGAGAUGUGGAGGAAUACCGAUGGCGAAGGCAGCCCCCUGGGAUAACACUGACGCUCAUGCACGAAAGCGUGGGGAGCAAACAGG